rnacentral:rRNA from 1 species
UGGGGAUUAUUGGACAAUGGGCGAAAGCCUGAUCCAGCCAUGCCGCGUGUGUGAAGAAGGUCUUCGGAUUGUAAAGCACUUUAAGUUGGGAGGAAGGGCAGUAAGCGAAUACCUUGCUGUUUUGACGUUACCGACAGAAUAAGCACCGGCUAACUCUGUGCCAGCAGCCGCGGUAAUACAGAGGGUGCAAGCGUUAAUCGGAAGUACUGGGCGUAAAGCGCGCGUAGGUGGUUCGUUAAGUUGAAUGUGAAAGCCCCGGGCUCAACCUGGGAACUGCAUCCAAAACUGGAGAGCUAGAGUAGGGCAGAGAGUGGUGGAAUUUCCAGUGUAGCGGUGAAAUGCGUAGAUAUAUGAAGGAACACCAGUGGCGAAGGCUACCACCUGAGCUGAUACUGACACUGAGGUGCGAAAGCGGGAGGAGCAAACAGG